rnacentral:lncRNA from 1 species
GUUCAGAGGUCUCUAGUUAUUUCCCGAUACUAUGAUAGCUGUUACCUGCCGGGCAAUGAACCAUUACCAAGUAUGUCCAAUGCAAGUAUUUAAGGACAAGAGAAGAAACUUCUCGGUGGGGUUUGGACCCAGGGAACCCCUGUGAACCAUCCUGGGGCCAGGACUACCUUGAUUACUUCACGGCCCUCAUGCACCCUGCUCCAGCACGAGAGAAUGCUUCAGGUCCCGGGGAGCGGUGUCAAUCCUGUCUGUGUCCAUCACCCUCACAGACAUUCGGCUCUUCCUCUUCCCCGUCUUGCUCGGACGUGAGGAGGUGAGGCGCCUCCCCCUGGCCUCUAGUGUUUCCUGCUCCUGUUCUCAUUGCUCUUGGGGGCUCUCUCUGUGAUGCCAUCUCCCACCACCGUCCCGGCCCAGCCUGAGCCGCUCAGGGAGGCCGCUGCCCCGUCAGCCUUGCAUUCUGAAUUGCUCUGGGGCAGGGGCCUCCCUGUAGGGCACAGUCACCCCGCACUGCAGACUCCCUCAGGCAUGCCCAUUUCGGAGCCUUCUCCCUUCCUUCCUUCAGUGUGGGCCGUGGCUCUCUCCACACUUGCCAUGUAACAGCAUGCUAGCCCCCCCCCUCCCCGGCCUUGCCAGCAUGCCAGAUACCGGGUCAAGGAGAAUGCUCCAACUGAGCAAAGUACUCCUUGGCCAACGCAUGCUCCGUGCCCUGGUCAGCAGCCUCAAGACCCAGUCCGUGUGUCCCCUGCUGACCCUGCUGGGUCAGAGUGGCCACAUUCUGCACCCUCUUCAGGACAUAGCCCCUCACUUCUCCCAGAGGCCCCACUCAUUCCUGUGGGUAGUACGGCUUGCCCCUUGCCUGGUGGCCUGGAACCAACUAGAUUAAAAUAAACCAUGGCUCGAAACCAAUAGUUCCAAUGAGAUUUGCUACGCAGGGGUCAUUGAUAACCUUGCUGAUCUUCCAUCUGUACCGUUUUGUUUUUCAGGCUGAAAGUUCUUGUUUCUACCAACAUGGUGCCUUUGUUUCGUCUUGGGACGCACCCGAGGGUCUCUGGCCAGUCUACCAACAGUGCCAACAGCUCCUGACGACAAAGCUGUCUGCGGCUUGUUCCUUCCUCAGGGUCCAUCCCGAGCACGUGGUCCCACAUCUGCUUCUGACGCUUGCCUCGUCGAGGUCUAGCACAGUUUUUGUUACACUCGCCUGCACGUUUUAUCUUUCUUCUUCUUACUGCAAUCUGCUCUCGCGUUGUGGUUUUUGACUCUCGUCUGUGUGUAAGAAGUGCAUUACUUUUCCCUGAGACAUUGAUGAACUCAUUCAUCAUUUGUGUUAGUUUUAUCGCUGAUUCUCUUGAGUUUUCCAGGAAGACCCUCAUCACUUACAAAUAGAGGUGAUUUUAUUUCUUCUUUCCUGAGUCUUAAGCUUCUGAAGAGCUCUUUGGUCUGACUGGGCUGCAUGAGCCCCCCCGCCCCCGCCCCCGGCGUGCGGCCGUGCGGUCCUGGUGCUGGGAGGUACCCUUCCUUCCUCUCUGACCACAGGGAAGAUGUGCCCGGCUUCUGUCUGUGGGGCUGGAUUUGGGGGCUGACGAUACAUACUUCAUUGGUGAAUAUUAAUAUCGUAUUUCAUUAAAAUAAUUAGAAUGUUUUUUUCCUUUCUCUGUGUCAGAGCUAU